ACUCUUCUGAGGAGUCCCACAAUAGGACGAAACGACCUUCUAGUGCUUCCAGGAU
rfam:Schistosoma margrebowiei strain Zambia genome assembly, scaffold: SMRZ_scaffold0000678